GAUAGCUCAGUUGGUAAAGCAUGAGACUCUUCAUCUCAGAGUCGUGGGUCCAAGCCCCAUGUUGCA
rnacentral:tRNA from 1 species